AAAGCCUGCCAUGAAUGCUAAUGCUUGUUAGCAAGGCCACCAUUGACAGAGGAUGUCCUCAAAUGGACAAGGAGGGCUGCGACACCCGAUGAGCGCAGCCCAAUAACGAUUUCAGCAGACGAGGGCCGUGCUGAUGAAAGGCGUCCUUAACCUCGCUGUGAGGCUGCUGAGGACUGUCAUCACCUGGCGGGGAGUCGAACCAGCCAGCGAGCCGCAGGAUCCGACAUGGUUUUUACCUGUGACGUGAUCCUCCGUUAUUAUAACGCAGUCAGAAAAAUUUCUUUGUGAUGCAGAUUUGUAUUGUAGAUUUCAGUUUUGCACAACUCCAGCAAUUGUUAGUAAGGUGACAUCUGGACAUCUACUUCCACUAAGCAGUAAUAUAUUCAAACAAAAUGGGUUCUGUGCUUCACGGAAAUAUGUUCUGUGAUCUCAUGGUCUUUUCAGUAAAAUGUAUUCCGUUA